AUGGCCUACCAAGGCGACGACGGGUAGCCGGCCUGGGAGGGCGACCGGCCACACUGGGACUGAGACACGGCCCAGACUCCUACGGGAGGCAGCAGUGGGGAAUAUUGCACAAUGGGGGAAACCCUGAUGCAGCGACGCCGCGUGAGGGAUGACGGCCUUCGGGUUGUAAACCUCUUUCAGCAGGGAAGAAGCCCCCUUUGGGGGUGACGGUACCUGCAGAAGAAGUACCGGCUAACUACGUGCCAGCAGCCGCGGUAAUACGUAGGGUACAAGCGUUGUCCGGAAUUAUUGGGCGUAAAGAGCUCGUAGGCGGUUCGUCGCGUCUGCUGUGGAAACGCAAGGCUCAACCUUGCGCGUGCAGCGGGUACGGGCGUAACUAGAGUGCAGUAGGGGAGUCUGGAAUUCCUGGUGUAGCGGUGAAAUGCGCAGAUAUCAGGAGGAACACCGGUGGCGAAGGCGGGACUCUGGGCUGUUACUGACGCUGAGGAGCGAAAGCAUGGGGAGCGAACAGGAUUAGAUACCCUGGUAGUCCAUGCCGUAAACGUUGGGCACUAGGUGUGGGGCUCAUUCCACGAGUUCCGUGCCGCAGCUAACGCAUUAAGUGCCCCGC
rnacentral:rRNA from 1 species